rnacentral:rRNA from 1 species
CGAGCACGCGCGUGUGGCAUAUCAAUAAGCGGAGGAAAAGAAACUAACAAGGAUUCCCUUAGUAACGGCGAGUGAAGCGGGAAGAGCUCAAAUUUGAAAUCUUCAAGGUUCUACCUUGACGAAUUGUAGUUUAUAGAAGUGUUUUCUGUUAGUGGAGUGGCAAAAGUUCUUUGGAAUAGGACAUCAUAGAGGGUGAGAAUCCCGUAUUUGGUCAUUCCUCCUAGCGUUGUGAUACACUUUCAACGAGUCGGAUUGUUUGGGAAUGCAGUCCAAAAUGGGUGGUAAAUUUCAUCUAAAGCUAAAUAUUGGCGAGAGACCGAUAGCGAACAAGUACCGUGAGGGAAAGAUGAAAAGAACUUUGAAAAGAGAGUUAAACAGUACGUGAAAUUGUCAAAAGGGAAGCGUUUGACACCAGUGUUGUUUUUCCGAAAAUCAAUUACGAAUGUUUUGUUUUUGAGGAGUUAUGACUUCAUCGACUUGCUCCUUUCUUUACGAAACUUUCUUAAUGCACUUUUCGGUUAACAAGUCAACAUCAAUUUCUUUUGUUGUAAAAGGGUAUGAGGAAGGUGGCUUUCUUUUCGGAGAAAGUGUUUAUAGCCUUGUGCCUCUACAAUCGGAGAGAUUGAGGUCUGCAGCGUAGAUCCUUCGGGGUUAGAUACGUUUGUGCUAAGUUAUAGCUUUUUAUAGACAACUUGUUGACUAUGUUUAGUCUUGUAGCUUACUCGCUUAUGCUAUUUUACCUACGCUUAGGAUGUUGAGUAGCGACAUACGCAC